rnacentral:rRNA from 1 species
AUUGAACGCUGGCGGCAGGCCUAACACAUGCAAGUCGAGCGGUAGCACAGAGAGCUUGCUCUCGGGUGACGAGCGGCGGACGGGUGAGUAAUGUCUGGGAAACUGCCUGAUGGAGGGGGAUAACUACUGGAAACGGUAGCUAAUACCGCAUAAUGUCGCAAGACCAAAGUGGGGGACCUUCGGGCCUCAUGCCAUCAGAUGUGCCCAGAUGGGAUUAGCUAGUAGGUGGGGUAACGGCUCACCUAGGCGACGAUCCCUAGCUGGUCUGAGAGGAUGACCAGCCACACUGGAACUGAGACACGGUCCAGACUCCUACGGGAGGCAGCAGUGGGGAAUAUUGCACAAUGGGCGCAAGCCUGAUGCAGCCAUGCCGCGUGUGUGAAGAAGGCCUUCGGGUUGUAAAGCACUUUCAGCGGGGAGGAAGGCGAUAAGGUUAAUAACCUCAUCGAUUGACGUUACCCGCAGAAGAAGCACCGGCUAACUCCGUGCCAGCAGCCGCGGUAAUACGGAGGGUGCAAGCGUUAAUCGGAAUUACUGGGCGUAAAGCGCACGCAGGCGGUCUGUCAAGUCGGAUGUGAAAUCCCCGGGCUCAACCUGGGAACUGCAUUCGAAACUGGCAGGCUAGAGUCUUGUAGAGGGGGGUAGAAUUCCAGGUGUAGCGGUGAAAUGCGUAGAGAUCUGGAGGAAUACCGGUGGCGAAGGCGGCCCCCUGGACAAAGACUGACGCUCAGGUGCGAAAGCGUGGGGAGCAAACAGGAUUAGAUACCCUGGUAGUCCACGCCGUAAACGAUGUCGAUUUGGAGGUUGUGCCCUUGAGGCGUGGCUUCCGGAGCUAACGCGUUAAAUCGACCGCCUGGGGAGUACGGCCGCAAGGUUAAAACUCAAAUGAAUUGACGGGGGCCCGCACAAGCGGUGGAGCAUGUGGUUUAAUUCGAUGCAACGCGAAGAACCUUACCUGGUCUUGACAUCCACAGAACUUUCCAGAGAUGGAUUGGUGCCUUCGGGAACUGUGAGACAGGUGCUGCAUGGCUGUCGUCAGCUCGUGUUGUGAAAUGUUGGGUUAAGUCCCGCAACGAGCGCAACCCUUAUCCUUUGUUGCCAGCGGUUAGGCCGGGAACUCAAAGGAGACUGCCAGUGAUAAACUGGAGGAAGGUGGGGAUGACGUCAAGUCAUCAUGGCCCUUACGACCAGGGCUACACACGUGCUACAAUGGCAUAUACAAAGAGAAGCGACCUCGCGAGAGCAAGCGGACCUCAUAAAGUAUGUCGUAGUCCGGAUUGGAGUCUGCAACUCGACUCCAUGAAGUCGGAAUCGCUAGUAAUCGUAGAUCAGAAUGCUACGGUGAAUACGUUCCCGGGCCUUGUACACACCGCCCGUCACACCAUGGGAGUGGGUUGCAAAAGAAGUAGGUAGCUUAACCUUCGGGAGGGCGCUUACCACUUUGUGAUUCAUGACUGGGGUGA